UUCGCAAUGCCCGAAAGGGUGACGAAGCGACGCCGCGUGAGCGAAGAAGGCCUUAGGGUUGUAAAGCUCUGUCGAGGGUUAUGAAAUGUAAACAGGUUAAUACCCUGUUUAUUUGACAAAAGCCCAAGAGGAAGUCACGGCUAACUCUGUGCCAGCAGCCGCGGUAAUACAGAGGUGGCAAGUGUUGUUCGGUAUUAUUGGGCGUAAAGAGCACGUAGGUGGUUUUAUAAGUCAGGUGUGAAAGCCUUCUGUUCAAAGGAAGAACGGCAUCUGAAACUGUAGAUCUUGAGUAUAGGAGGGGAGAGUGGAACUUCUGGUGGAGCGGUGAAAUGCGUAGAUAUCAGAAGGAACGUCGGCGGCGAAAGCGACUCUCUGGCCUAUUACUGACACUGAGGUGCGAAAGUUAGGGGAGCAAACGGGAUUAGAUACCCCGGUAGUCCUAACCGUAAACGAUGGGCACUAAGUAGAGGGGUUUU
rnacentral:rRNA from 1 species